rnacentral:tRNA from 1 species
GGCCUCGUAGCUCAGAUGGUAGAGCGUGCGUUGUACAAAAGCGUAGGCGGUGUCCAUGCACGGAUUCGAAUUCCACCAAGGCUA